GGCAACCUGAUGGAAUCAAAUAACAAGUGUCAAGGUUGUCCCGCGGGACAACUGCGUACUAUUCUGAGUAAAGUGAAUUGAAAAUAGCACGUGGCACUGGGCUCUUGCUCAAGGCUACUAUUCUCCUUCAGCAGCUCCGUAGAUGACAAACAGAAGAAAGUAGUAUCAGGAGCAGACACUCGUCAAUGCAGAGAAACCCUGACACUGCCUCCAAUCAAAGCGGAAGGAAAAGUCAUACUUGGCCUGGUCGGAUUUUCCCCGUUUUCCACAAAUCCCGCUGCAGCGUGGCGUAAUUGAAAACAGGGAGAGAGAGAGGGAAGGAAACGUUCAAGAUUCUGGAUGAGGGACAGAGCGGAUGGAGAAGGGGAAAGGCUGGAUACAAAGGGAGAGAGAGGUAAAUCCACCCCAAAUGAUACAUUUAUUCAAUUCAAGAUUUCACAAAGCUUGAAGAAAGGGGGUGUCUCAUAAUAGAAUCACUUCAUCAGGAACUCAAGUGCUUGAACGCAGGAUCCAUCUGUUCGGUGUAUCGUCUGAUUUCCCCCUCCCAGCACCCUCCUCUUUCUCUUUUCCUCCCUCACCUCCCAUUAAAACCACGUAAGCCUGAUUUAUCAAGAAUUGGCUCUCAGGGAGCAUCCCUCCUGCUGUACCCACCUGCCCCCCUGCAUAUGCCAGAAAAAUGAGAAUAGAUUGGCCCAUCCGUGGAUGGUGCCAGGUGGCAUUUAGACCCCCAAGAAGAUAUGUGUGCAGUCUAUCUACCUCACAGUGACAGACGUUGGGCCUGGAGAGAGAGGAAAAGAAAAAAGGAAGCAAGUCGGAAAGGAUAGUAACGGAGGAGGGGGAAAGCAGAAAAACCCUAGUAGGUUCAAGUAAAUGUGUUGUCCUGCUAAAGGCACGCUUGUUUUCUUGUCAUUAUCUCAAGCUGCUGUUGCACAGCGAGCCAGAUGUACAUGUGGGAGUACGCAAACGGGCUAGUGACAAUAGGAAUGCCCCUUUUUGCAUUGCCAUGUAAUCUUAGCCUUUUCCUUGUUUUGAAACCGUACUUGAGCUGGAUUUGAAAUCCUGUUAUAUGGAUUAGUGAACACUUAAACAUUAUGGAAAUUAAAAAUCAGGGAGCACAGAUGUGAUUUUGCAACACACAUGCCUAAAGGAAUGUUUUUAUGAUUUAAUACAAGUUAAGUUCAAUCAAGAGCAUCUGUGGUAUAAUGUUCAUUACCACAAAAAACAGUUUCAACAUCACUUUCUUUAUUAAGAAUUUCGGGUUAAAUUAAGAAUAUUUCAGGUUAAGUUCAGUCAACAGCAUACAUGGUAUAAUGUUAGUUAUCACAAAAAAUUGAUUCUGCUCAAACGUUUUCUUUUUUUUUAAACCAAAAAUCAAGGCUACAUUGAGGUACGUAUAAUCAAAGUAAAUGGCACCAGUAAUUUAGAGGAUUUAAAAGCAGGAAUGUGAAGUAUUGCAAUUUUAUAAAACCACUUACUUUUGUUAAAACUUGAGUUUUAUUUGAGCUGCAAAACUAUUUAGAUCAUAAUUUUUACAGUGAUUUUGGAGCAUUACCUUGUCAUGGCAAUGAAGUUACAACUACAGUUGUAUAUACUGUAACUUUACAAAGAAAAGGUU
ensembl:lncRNA